rnacentral:rRNA from 1 species
CAGAGACUGCAAGCGUUAUUCGGAUUCACUGGGCGUAAAGGGUGCGCAGGCGGCCAAGUGUGUUAGGCGUGAAAGCCCGGGGCUUAACCCCGGAAUUGCACCUAAAACUACGUGGCUAGAGCAUUGGAGAGGGUAGCGGAAUUCACGGUGUAGCAGUGAAAUGCGUAGAUAUCGUGAGGAACACCAGAGGCGAAGGCGGCUACCUGGACAAUUGCUGACGCUCAGGCACGAAAGCGUGGGGAGCAAAAGGGAUUAGAUACCCCUGUAGUCCACGCCCUAAACGGUGCACACUAGGUCUUGGCGGAUUCGACCCCACCAGGGCCCAAGCUAACGCGUUAAGUGUGCCGCCUGAGGACUACGGUCGCAAGACUA